rnacentral:tRNA from 1 species
GCCCGGCUAGCUCAGUCAGUAGAUCAUGAGACUCUUAAUCUCAGGGUCGUGGGUUCACACCCCAUAUUGGGUG